CUCAGGAGAGGAAAACUAACUGGUGGCAAUCUUUUGUGCAAAACUUCUAUUGGGAGUCAAGCGGGGUAAGUCAAG